UCCCUGCUGGCUCAGAUGGUAAAGCUUCUGCCUGCAAUGCAGGAGACCCAGGUUCAAUCCCUGGGUUGGAAG
rnacentral:tRNA from 1 species